rnacentral:rRNA from 1 species
GGAAUCUUGGGAAUGGGCGAAAGCCUGACCCAGCAACGCCGCGUGGGCGAUGAAGGCCUUAGGGUCGUAAAGCCCUUUUGUGGGGGACGAUGAUGACGGUCCCCCACGAAUAAGCCACGGCUCACUACGUGCCAGCAGCCGCGGUAAUACGUAGGUGGCGAGCGUUGUCCGGAUUUACUGGGCGUAAAGGGCGCGCAGGCGGUCUGUAUUAGUCUAGGGUGAAAGCUCCCGGCUUAACUGGGAGAGGUCCUUGGAUACUGGCAGACUCGAGGGAGGCAGAGGAAAGUGGAAUUCCCGGUGUAGUGGUGAUAUGCGUAGAUAUCGGGAGGAACACCAGUGGCGAAGGCGGCUUUCUGGGCCUUACCUGACGCUGAGGCGCGAAAGCGUGGGGAGCGAAC